GACGAACGCUGGCGGCGUGCUUAACACAUGCAAGUCGAACGGAAAGGCCUCUUUCGGGGGGUACUCGAGUGCCGAACGGGUGAGUAACACGUGAGUAACCUGCCCUUGACUUUGGGAUAACUUCAGGAAACUGGGGCUAAUACCGGAUAGGAGCUCCUGCUGCAUGGUGGGGGUUGGAAAGUUUCGGCGGUUGGGGAUGGACUCGCGGCUUAUCAGCUUGUUGGUGGGGUAGUGGCUUACCAAGGCUUUGACGGGUAGCCGGCCUGAGAGGGUGACCGGCCACAUUGGGACUGAGAUACGGCCCAGACUCCUACGGGAGGCAGCAGUGGGGAAUAUUGCACAAUGGGUGGAAGCCUGAUGCAGCAACGCCGUGUGCGGGAUGACGGCCU
rnacentral:rRNA from 1 species